GCCGGUAGCAUGCCUGCUGCAGCCACAGCUGCCACUACCCUCACCCUCCUUGCCAUGGGGUAAUAGCCAAAAUCAAUUCUCUCUUUUCUGCUUUAUUUCUUUUAAACUCCUAGGAAAAAAUCACUGGGAGUCUCAAAUUUCGAGAAGUUAUAGAUAAAUAGUGGUUAGGAAAAAAUCACUGGGAGUCUCAAAUUUCGAGAAGUUAUAGAUAAAUAGUGGUUGGGAUGUUCGCCCAUUAAAGCGGUACAUGAGUUGGGUUCAGAACGUCGUGAGACAGUUCGGUCCAUAUCCGGUGUGGGCGUUAGAGCAUUGAGAGGACCUUUCCCUAGUACGAGAGGACCGGGAAGGACGCACCUCUGGUGUACCAGUUAUCGUGCCCACGGUAAACACUGGGUAGCCAAGUGCGGAGCGGAUAACUGCUGAAAGUAUCUAAGUAGUAAGCCCACCCCAAGAUGAGUGCUCUCCUAUUCCGACUUCCCCAGAUGUAGAAAUAUAAGAAGGCGGGUCCCUUCUCCAU
rnacentral:ncRNA from 1 species